rnacentral:lncRNA from 1 species
AAACUACACACAAUUAUAAUCAAACUUCCCUGUUUACAUUGGCUUCUGCGAAGCUUAAAGUUAGAUUUUAUUCUCAAUCACAGCAACAAUAUUCACCCAGGGCUACUGUGUAGUACAACUAUAGGGGACUUCAAGUCAGGCCACGGUUGCAGACAUUUAGAUGAGAAAGAUUGAUCUCUGGAAAAAUGAAGUUCUUAUUUCUGAGUCCAGACUUACUUUGAAGAUUCCCUCCCGCCACUCCAUCCCUCAACCCAGGUGUCUUGAAGAGCCACUAUUCCUUCGAAGAGGGGUAUCUUUUAUGCCUCCUUGAAAUGGAUGAUAAUUUUCUCCUAGGGGAAGGUGGCAAAGGGCACUUGCCAUUGGAAAAGUGAUUAUCUAAAGAGUCUCUCUGGAAGUUCAGCUUGAAAGGACUCUCUUUCUGUGUUUGUUCACUAGAUAUUAAGGGAAGUGCUAGGAAAAACUUGAAGAGGACACACUUGUCAGAACCCAAAAGGCCAUUACUCUACUUCCCUUAUGCCAAAUCUAGGUCAGAGUGCACCUGUGACUUGCCCUGGACACUGAGAGGUCACAUCCACACAGGACUAGUCCUUACUAUUCCACAGAUACAUGAUGAAGCCUGUGCAAGAUCUGAUAGUCUACACAGAGCUACUCCAUAAAUUUCCCAGGAAAGGGUAACUCAUGAGUCAUCAAAUAUUUGCACAAUCUGAAUCUUCCAGAGGUCAAGGAAUAAUUGUAAAUGGUAUUUGGACUGAUGGCUCUGUAGUUCAGAAGGUGCUUGAUUGUGCAUGUGUGUGUGUAUAGAUUUGAGAGGAGCAUAGCUCUCUAUCCUCAUCUACUUUCAACUUAUACUUCUCAAUUUUAUUACUGUUUGUUAUUGGAGGAAAGAAUGGUUUUGACAUCAGUGGCAAAGUUGUCAAGAUCUUGGCUGAUUUAUUCCUGAAUUAUCUGGCACGAAGUCUCACUGAAAAGUUCAUAGUUAUAUUUUAUGUACUGCAACCAAGAUAUGGAAAUAACUUUAGCUUACAAAAUGGAUAUUUCUGGAUCUAUACUUGGACCUAUAGAAAUAUGUGAAAUCAGACAAAAGCAGAAGUGAUGGUAAGAUUAUAUUCAGUAAUUCAUCUAGCCAAUGAUAAUAUCUGGGCCUUUGGGAGAAGGCCGUGAGGAAUGUUUUAUGAGGCUGAAGAAAUGUGGAUAAUAAAAAUGUAGUUGGCUAUGAAGACCUUCCUAAUAUAAAAAGUUGUUAAGUCUUAGAAUCACUUCUUAAGUGCUGAUGGAAUUUUCUGUUUUAAGAGAAUAGAUAGCUGGCCGGUGGCUUAGGGCUUUACUAUUCAAAGCAUAGUCCAAAGAUCAGCAACAUUAGUGUCACCUGGGAGCUUGUUAGAACUGCCUGGACACCACCACAGAGCUACCAAUUAGAAUCUGCGGUUUAACAAGAUGCCCAAGUUAUUUGUAGGCAUGCUAAAGUUUGAGAAGCAAACAGGCUUGGAACAGUGUUCUCAAACUUGACUGCAUAUGAGAUAAAGUGGGGAACAUUAAAAAUAUUGAUGCCUGUCUAGGUGUGCUGCUUCACACCUGUAAUCCUUGCACUUUGGGAGGCCGAGGUGGGUGGAUCAUGAAGUCGGGAGUUCAAGACCAGCCUGGCCAACAUGGUGAAACCCUGUCUCUACUAAAAAUACAAAAAUUAACUGGGUGUGGUGGCAUGUGCCUGUAGUCCCAGCUACUUGGGAGACUGAGGCAGGAGAAUUGCUUGAAUCUGGGAGGCAGAGGUUGCAGUGAGCCAAGACUGUGCCAUUGCACUCCAGUCUGUGUGACAGAGUGAGACUCUGUCUCAAAAAAAAAAAAAAAAAAAAAAA